rnacentral:rRNA from 1 species
AAUCCCGUGAACCAUCGAGUCUUUGAACGCAAGUUGCGCCCGANGCCUUCGGGCCGAGGGCACGCCUGCCUGGGCGUCACGCAUCGCGUCGCCCCCCGCCCCCGCGCCCUCUGCCCGAUCCGGGCGGGGCGCGGGCGCGGCGGGGGGCGGAGACUGGCCUCCCGUGCGCCUCCGUCGCGCGGCCGGCCC